ensembl:lncRNA
ACAGAAAUUGUGAAGCUGAAGCCUUAAGAAACACAGUCAUGGUGAAGGGAAGUGAUGGUGAUGGGAGCAGCUCACUGCAGUGCCAUGGUGCAUGAAGUUCUCUGAAACAUCUCCAGCUUUGCCUUCCAAAGAUUCACAAGAGAUUGAGGCAGAGUGGCAGUGAAAAAUGUUGAUAAGAUCCCUACUAGAACAUCCUAGUUUGUUUUAGACUGCGUAUCUGUGAUGUACUGUAAAGUGUCCAUCGCCAUCUGAGUGCCAAAAAGCUUCUGUGCUGCAGCAGUGGUCUGUUUUCUUCCCUUGCACAUCCAUGGACAAAAAUACAUCCGUGCUCAUGCUGUGUCUCCCUUCACACCAGAGCCACGCGUGGAACUCUUUCAGUUUGUUCUGAUCUCUGUGAGCAGGCGGAGCUGCAAUUUUCUUUCAUUUAAAACUGUUCUUUGUCAUUUGAUGGUUUCACCUUGAGUCCCCUGACAAGAGCUUUCAUGGGCAACAUUUUCACCCCCGUGUUCCUUAAAGCAGAAGAGUUCCUCCUUGUGGGAGUUACUUGUAUGAACUCCACUCUCCCCCCCUGGCAGGAACCCAGUUGGGAUUGCUGCCUUUUGCCAACUUCUGUGUGGGAGUGGAUGCUCCCUCUUGGAAAGCAAAUCCAAAGCAUAUCUGAAGGGGUCCACAGAAGGAGGUAACCCAGUCAAAGGUACAAACAAGAAAUCUUUUUUUUUCCCCAUGCUUUGCUGACUCUUAAGAGGAGGGCUAUGCUCCUCCAGCAAACAAACAGAAGAUGAAAAUUCAUGUGAGAGAGCAGGGAUAAAAUAUGUGUAAUACUAAUUUUGCUAGUUUUCCAAGCCCCAUAUGUUUAGUAACAAAAUAAAAUCACAACACGGGAAAUUGGAUGAUAUAUCCAGGACAUGGGGGGAAAUCUAUGGCUAUUAAUUUGUAAUUUUGUUUUGCUAACUGUGAGACAAGAAGGCUUUCUGCACACUAAAUAAUGAUAGUAUUUGGAGUGAUAAAUCUGAGCAUCCUUGUGCUGUCUCCUGCUGCUGAAUAAAUCUGUUGGGCUG